GACGAACGCUGGCGGCGUGCUUAACACAUGCAAGUCGAACGGAAAGGCCCUGCUUUUGUGGGGUGCUCGUGUGGCGAACGGGUGAGUAACACGUGAGUAACCUGCCCUUGUCUUUGGGAUAACUUCAGGAAACUGGGGCUAAUACCGGAUAGGAGCUCUUGCUGCAUGGUGGGGGUUGGAAAGUUUCGGCGGUUGGGGAUGGACUCGCGGCUUAUCAGCUUGUUGGUGGGGUAGUGGCUUACCAAGGCUUUGACGGGUAGCCGGCCUGAGAGGGUGACCGGCCACAUUGGGACUGAGAUACGGCCCAGACUCCUACGGGAGGCAGCAGUGGGGAAUAUUGCACAAUGGGCGGAAGCCUGAUGCAGCAACGCCGCGUGCGGGAUGACGGCCUUCGGGUUGUAAACCGCUUUCGCCUGUGACGAAGCGUGAGUGACGGUAAUGGGUAAAGAAGCACCGGCUAACUACGUG
rnacentral:rRNA from 1 species